rnacentral:rRNA from 1 species
GAUGAACGCUGGCGGCGUGCCUAAUACAUGCAAGUCGAGCGAACAGACGAGGAGCUUGCUCCUCUGACGUUAGCGGCGGACGGGUGAGUAACACGUGGAUAACCUACCUAUAAGACUGGGAUAACUUCGGGAAACCGGGGCUAAUACCGGAUAAUAUAUUGAACCGCAUGGUUCAAUAGUGAAAGACGGUUUUGCUGUCACUUAUAGAUGGAUCCGCGCCGCAUUAGCUAGUUGGUAAGGUAACGGCUUACCAAGGCAACGAUGCGUAGCCGACCUGAGAAGGUGAUCGGCCACACUGGAACUGAGACACGGUCCAGACUCCUACGGGAGGCAGCAGUAGGGAAUCUUCCGCAAUGGGCGAAAGCCUGACGGAGCAACGCCGCGUGAGUGAUGAAGGUCUUCGGAUCGUAAAACUCUGUUAUUAGGGAAGAACAAAUGUGUAAGUAACUAUGCACGUCUUGACGGUACCUAAUCAGAAAGCCACGGCUAACUACGUG